rnacentral:lncRNA from 1 species
AUAUAAAAGAAAAUAUAAUAAAUACAUAACAAAAUUAGAAAAAAAAACAUAAAUAAAAAAUAUAUAAAAAUUUAUUUAAAAAACAAAAAGGACAUUGAUUAUAAUGUAUAUUAAGUAUAAAAUUACGAAAAAUAAUUUGAAGAUGAAGAACAAUUUUAAUAAAUCAAUAAAAGCAACCUAGAAAAUAACACAAAAAAGAAACACAUGAAAGAAAAUGAAUAAUUUUGAAAUACUAAAAUAAAAUUGAGGAUAUUUAAAUAAAUAUAUAAAAAAUUAAAUAAUAAAAAUCAUAUUAACUCCCCUCCCCUCCAAAUCCUCUAUUUGAAGGAUACAAAA